rnacentral:rRNA from 1 species
UGGGGAAUAUUGGACAAUGGGCGAAAGCCUGAUCCAGCCAUGCCGCGUGUGUGAAGAAGGUCUUCGGAUUGUAAAGCACUUUAAGUAGGGAGGAAGGGCAGUAAGCGAAUACCUUGCUGUUCUGACGUUACCGACAGAAUAAGCACCGGCUAACUCUGUGCCAGCAGCCGCGGUAAUACAGAGGGUGCAAGCGUUAAUCGGAAUUACUGGGCGUAAAGCGCGCGUAGGUGGUUCGUUAAGUUGAAUGUGAAAGCCCCGGGCUCAACCUGGGAACUGCAUCCAAAACUGUCGAGCUAGAGUAGGGCAGAGGGUGGUGGAAUGUCCUGUGUAGCGGUGAAAUGCGUAGAUAUAGGAAUGAACACCAGUGGCGAAGGAGACCACCUGGGUUCAUACUGACACUGAGGUGCGAAAGAGUGGGGAGCAAACAGG